rnacentral:rRNA from 1 species
UGACGAUGGACAUUGCAAAGAGUGGCGAACGGGUGAGUAACACGUGGGAAACCUACCUCUUAGCAGGGGAUAACAUUUGGAAACAGAUGCUAAUACCGAAUAAAACUUAGUAUCGCAUGAUAUAAAGUUAAAAGGCGCUACGGCGUCACCUAGAGAUGGUCCCGCGGUGCAUUAGCUAGUUGGUAAGGUAAUGGCUUACCAAGGCGAUGAUGCAUAGCCGAGUUGAGAGACUGAUCGGCCACAAUGGGACUGAGACACGGCCCAUACUCC